rnacentral:rRNA from 1 species
GAUGAACGCUAGCGAUAGGCUUAACACAUGCAAGUCGAGGGACCGGCGCACGGUUGCGUAACGCGUAUGCAACUUGCCUCACAGAGGGGGAUAACCAGUCGAAAGACGGACUAAUACCGCGUACUGUGAGAUAGGCAUGCGUCCCAUUCGGUCGUUGGGGAGGUAACGUGUCACCAAGGCAACGAUUGGUAGGGGAACUGAGAGGUUGAACCCACACCCUGGUACUGAUACACGUACCAGACUCAUACUGGAGGCAGCAGUGAGGAAUAGUGGUCAAUGGGCGAGAGCCUGACCCAGCCAAGUCGCGUGAAGGAUGACUGUCUAUGGAUUGUAAACUUCUUUUGUAGGGGAAUAUGUACCCUACGAAUAAGCAUCGGCUAACUCCGUGCCAGCAGCCGCGGUAAUAC